UGUGGCACGUUGGGACACAGUUCAGUGGUGGCCUUGACAGUGCUGGGUUAAUGGUGGGACUUGAUGAUCUUGGAGGUCUUUUCCAACCUAAAUGAUUCUGUGAUGAAUCCAGACCAGUCCUGGGGGUCCUUGCUGUGAAAUCAAAAGAACUGGAGGCUUUUGCUGGUGAUGGUCAAAUCCAGCACAUCUGGAAUAGUUUAUGUCCUGCUUCUUCCACUGAUCUACCUUCCUGAUAAAGCCCCUUCACCUCUAGGGAUGAACAGGGUGCUGGAACAGGAUUUUGGAGCAGCUCUUUCAGUGGGAAGGGGACCAGAGGCACCUCUAGAGACCACCCAGCUCAGUGCAGGUUCCUCCAGCACUGGUUGCCCAGGACUGUGUCCAGAUGAGUUUGGGAUAUGACAAGAAGAAAAGCAUUUCUCUGUUUAAA